rnacentral:rRNA from 1 species
UACGAAGGUGGCAAGCGUUGUUCGGAUUUACUGGGCGUACAGGGAGCGUAGGCGGUUGGAUAAGCCCUCCGUGAAAUCUCCAGGCUUAACCUGGAAAGUGCAGAGGGGACUGUUCAGCUAGAGGAUGGGAGAGGAGCGCGGAAUUCCCGGUGUAGCGGUGAAAUGCGUAGAGAUCGGGAGGAAGGCCGGUGGCGAAGGCGCUGGGCUGGACGGCGAUUGACGCUGAGGUGCGAAAGCGUGGGGAGCAAACAGG